GAUGAACGCUGGCGGCGUGCCUAAUACAUGCAAGUCGAGCGAACGGACGAGAAGCUUGCUUCUCUGAUGUUAGAGGCGGACGGGUGAGUAACACGUGGAUAACCUACCUAUAAGACUGGGAUAACUUCGGGAAACCGUAGCUAAUACCGGAUAAUAUUUUGAACCGCAUGGUUCAAAAGUGAAAGACGGUCUUGCUGUCACUUAUAGAUGGAUCCGCGCUGCAUUAGCUAGUUGGUAAGGUAACGGCUUACCAAGGCAACGAUGCAUAGCCGACCUGAGAGGGUGAUCGGCCACGCUGGAACUGAGACACGGUCCAGACUCCUACGGGAGGCAGCAGUAGGGAAUCUUCCGCAAUGGGCGAAAGCCUGACGGAGCAACGCCGCGUGAGUGAUGAAGGUCUUCGGAUCGUAAAACUCUGUUAUUAGGGAAGAACAUAUGUGUAAGUAACUGUGCACAUCUUGACGGUACCUAAUCAGAAAGCCACGGCUAACUACGUG
rnacentral:rRNA from 1 species